CCUACGGGAGGCAGCAGUGAGGAAUAUUGGUCAAUGGACGAGAGUCUGAACCAGCCAAGUAGCGUGAAGGAUGACUGCCCUAUGGGUUGUAAACUUCUUUUAUAUGGGAAUAAAAUGUUCCACGUGUGGGAUUUUGUAUGUACCAUAUGAAUAAGGAUCGGCUAACUCCGUGCCAGCAGCCGCGGUAAUACGGAGGAUCCGAGCGUUAUCCGGAUUUAUUGGGUUUAAAGGGGGCGUAGGUGGGUUGUUAAGUCAGUUGUGAAAGUUUGGGGCUCAACAGUAAUAUUGCAGUUGAAACUGGAUGUUUUGAGAAGUGGAGAGGUAGGCGGAAUGCGUGGUGGAGCGGUGAAAUGCUUAGAUA
rnacentral:rRNA from 1 species